rnacentral:rRNA from 1 species
AACGAACGCUGGCGGCAGGCCUAACACAUGCAAGUCGAACGAUGUAGCAAUACAUAGUGGCGCACGGGUGAGUAACGCGUGGGAAUGUACCAUUUGGUGUGGAAUAACUCCGGGAAACUGGAGCUAAUACUGCAUACGCCCUUCGGGGGAAAGAUUUAUCGCCAAAUGAACAGCCCGCGUGGGAUUAGAUAGUUGGUGGGGUAAUGGCCUACGAAGUCGACGAUCUCUAGCUGGUCUUAGAGGAUGACCAUCCACACUGGAGCUGGGACGCGGUCCAGACUCUUACGCGAUGCAGCAGUGGGGAAUAUUGGGCAAUGGACGAAAGUCUGAACCAGCCAUGCCGCGUGAGUGAUGAAGGCUCUAGGGUUGUAAAGCUCUUUCGCCGAUGAAGAUAAUGACGGUAGUCGGAGAAGAAGCCCCGGCUAACUUCGUGCCAGCCGCCGCCGUAA